CCAAAAGUAGGAAGAUAAAUGCAGCACGGUCUUCCCCUUGGAGAACAGCCAUCCCACCCUUUUGUAACCAAAUAUAUCAAGCGCAAAACAACACAAAAAUAGAUGGUUCUAAAAUGAAUAUAGAACUCUGGAAUCCAACGUCAACAAAAUCCAAAAAGGAGGUGUGCUACUGUGUUUUCAAGUUGGACAGUUUGUGACUGUUGCUGAUUAACAUCUGCUGUCUGGCAGGGAAAACCAAAAGAGUGCAGACUGCGGAUCUGCUCCUUUCAUCUCUCCUCCCUCGUUUGGGCUGGCUAGCAGAGGGAGAAGGAGUGUCGGCCAUGAUUAGGACGAUGGGGUGUGGUGCAGCGGUGAUGACAAACAUCGCAGGCCGAACGGACGGCACAGAAGGAGGCACAGGUGGAUGGAGGAGUAACAAAGGAUGGGGCUCACAUUGCACUCAACCCCACUGUUGAUUUCCCCGGAGAUGGUUGGAAAGGGAAGUGAGGACAUUCAAAG